AACGAACGCUGGCGGCAUGCCUAACACAUGCAAGUCGAACGAAGGCUUCGGCCUUAGUGGCGCACGGGUGCGUAACGCGUGGGAAUCUGCCCUUAGGUACGGAAUAACUCAGGGAAACUUGAGCUAAUACCGUAUAAUGACUUCGGUCCAAAGAUUUAUCGCCUGAGGAUGAGCCCGCGUCGGAUUAGCUAGUUGGUGAGGUAAAAGCUCACCAAGGCGACGACCCGUAGCUGGUCUGAGAGGAUGAUCAGCCACACUGGGACUGAGACACGGCCCAGACUCCUACGGGAGGCAGCAGUGGGGAAUAUUGGACAAUGGGCGAAAGCCUGAUCCAGCAAUGCCGCGUGAGUGAUGAAGGCCUUAGGGUUGUAAAGCUCUUUUACCCGGGAUGAUAAUGACAGUACCGGGAGAAUAAGCCCCGGCUAACUCCGUGCCAGCCGCCGCUGUAA
rnacentral:rRNA from 1 species